rnacentral:rRNA from 1 species
GACGAUCGCUGUCGGCGUGCCUAAUACAUGCAAGUAGAACGCACUUGCCAACGGGUGAGUAACGCGUAGGUAACUGCCUCAUCGCGGGGGAUAACUAAUUGAAACGAUAGCUAAUACCGCAUACUGUGAGAUGGACCUGCGUUGUAUUAGCUAGUUGGUGAGGUAAAGGCUCACCAAGGCGUACAUACAUCGCCGACCGGAGCAGGUGAUCUGCCAGACGGGGAGUGAGGCACGGCCCCGCCUCCGACGGGAGGCAGCAGUAGGGAGACUGCGGCAAUGGACGGAAGUCUGACCGAGCAACGCCGCGUGAGUGAAGAAGGUUUUCGGAUCGUAAAGCUCUGUUGGUAGAGAAGCGGUAACUAACCAGAAAGGGACGGCUGACUACGUGCCAGCCGCCGCGGUAAUAC